GCCCCGUUAGUCUAACGGAUAGAAUAUUCGGCUACGAACCGAAAGAUAGUGGUUCGAUUCCACUACGGGGUGCCA
rnacentral:tRNA from 1 species